UAGGGAAUCUUCGGCAAUGGGGGCAACCCUGACCGAGCAACGCCGCGUGAGUGAAGAAGGUUUUCGGAUCGUAAAGCUCUGUUGUAAGUCAAGAACGAGUGUGAGAGUGGAAAGUUCACACUGUGACGGUAGCUUACCAGAAAGGGACGGCUAACUACGUGCCAGCAGCCGCGGUAAUACGUAGGUCCCGAGCGUUGUCCGGAUUUAUUGGGCGUAAAGCGAGCGCAGGCGGUUUGAUAAGUCUGAAGUUAAAGGCUGUGGCUCAACCAUAGUUCGCUUUGGAAACUGUCAAACUUGAGUGCAGAAGGGGAGAGUGGAAUUCCAUGUGUAGCGGUGAAAUGCGUAGAUAUAUGGAGGAACACCGGUGGCGAAAGCGGCUCUCUGGUCUGUAACUGACGCUGAGGCUCGAAGGCGUGGGGAGCGAACAGGAUUAGAUACCCUGGUAGUCCACGCCGUAAACGAUGAGUGCUAGGUGUUAGACCCUUUCCGGGGUUUAGUGCCGCAGCUAACGCAUUAAGCACUCCGCCUGGGGAGUACGACCGCAAGGUUG
rnacentral:rRNA from 1 species